AUUGAACGCUGGCGGCAGGCCUAACACAUGCAAGUCGAGCGGAGCGGCGGACGGGUGAGUAAUGCCUAGGAAUCUGCCUGGUAGUGGGGGUUAACGUCCGGAACCGGGCGCUAAACCCGCAAACUAUCCGAUGAGCCUGGGUGGGGUUAGCUUGUUGGGGGGGUAAAGGCCUACCAAGGCGACGAUCCGUAUCUGGUCUGAGAGGAUGAUCAGUCACACUGGAACUGAGACACGGUCCAGACUCCUACGGGAGGCAGCAGAGGGGAAGAUUGGACAAGGGGCGGAAGCCUGAUCCAGCCAUGCCGCGUGUGUGAAGAAGGUCUUCGGAUUGUAAAGCACUUUAAGUUGGGAGGCGGUACCAACAGAAUAAGCACCGGCUAACUUCGUGCCAGCAGCCGCGGUAAUAC
rnacentral:rRNA from 1 species